rnacentral:tRNA from 1 species
GCCUCUGUAGUAUAAACUAAUACACCAGUCUUGUAAACUGGAAACGGACACUCUUCCCCGAGGCA